UUACUGGGCGUAAAGCGCAUGCAGGUGGUUUGUUUAAGUCAGAUGUGAAAGCCCGGGGCUCAACCUCGGAAUUGCAUUUGAAAACUGGCAAACUAGAGUACUGUAGAGGGGGUAGAAUUUCAGGUGUAGCGGUGAAAUGCGUAGAGAUCUGAAGGAAUACCGGUGGCGAAGGCGGCCCCCUGGACAGAUACUGACACUCAGAUGCGAAAGCGUGGGGAGCAAACAGGAUUAGAUACCCUGGUAG
rnacentral:rRNA from 1 species